rnacentral:rRNA from 1 species
AGAGUUUGAUCAUGGCUCAGAGCGAACGCUGGCGGCAGGCUUAACACAUGCAAGUCGAACGGACGUAGCAAUACGUCAGUGGCAGACGGGUGAGUAACACGUGGGAACGUGCCCUUCGGUCCGGAACAACCCAGGGAAACUUGGGCUAAUACCGGAUACGUCCGCAAGGAGAAAGAUUUAUCGCCGAAGGAUCGGCCCGCGUCUGAUUAGCUUGUUGGUGAGGUAACGGCUCACCAAGGCGACGAUCAGUAGCUGGUCUGAGAGGAUGAUCAGCCACACUGGGACUGAGACACGGCCCAGACUCCUACGGGAGGCAGCAGUGGGGAAUAUUGGACAAUGGGCGCAAGCCUGAUCCAGCCAUGCCGCGUGGGUGAUGAAGGCCUUAGGGUUGUAAAGCCCUUUCGGCGGGGAAGAUAAUGACGGUACCCGCAGAAGAAGCCCCGGCUAACUUCGUGCCAGCAGCCGCGGUAAUACGAAGGGGGUUAGCGUUGCUCGGAAUCACUGGGCGUAAAGCGCACGUAGGCGGAUUGCUAAGUCAGGGGUGAAAUCCUGGAGCUCAACUCCAGAACUGCCCUUGAUACUGGCGACCUUGAGUCCGGGAGAGGUGAGUGGAACUGCGAGUGUAGAGGUGAAAUUCGUAGAUAUUCGCAAGAGCACCAGUGGCGAAGGCGGCUCACUGGCCCGGUACUGACGCUGAGGUGCGAAAGCGUGGGGAGCAAACAGGAUUAGAUACCCUAGUAGUCC